rnacentral:rRNA from 1 species
UGAAUUGCAGAAUCCCGUGAACCAUCGAGUCUUUGAACGCAAGUUGCGCCUGAAGCCAUUAGGCCAAGGGCACGUCUGCCUGGGCGUCACGCAUCGCGUCACCCCUCCUCCAAUCUUGGUGGAUGGGGUG